rnacentral:rRNA from 1 species
UGGGGAAUUUUGGACAAUGGGCGCAAGCCUGAUCCAGCCAUGCCGCGUGUCUGAAGAAGGCCUUCGGGUUGUAAAGGACUUUUGUCAGGGAAGAAAAGGCUGUUGCUAAUACCGACAGCUGAUGACGGUACCUGAAGAAUAAGCACCGGCUAACUACGUGCCAGCAGCCGCGGUAAUACGUAGGGUGCGAGCGUUAAUCGGAAUUACUGGGCGUAAAGCGAGCGCAGACGGUUACUUAAGCAGGAUGUGAAAUCCCCGGGCUCAACCUGGGAACUGCGUUCUGAACCGGGUGACUAGAGUGUGUCAGAGGGAGGUAGAAUUCCACGUGUAGCAGUGAAAUGCGUAGAGAUGUGGAGGAAUACCGAUGGCGAAGGCAGCCUCCUGGGAUAACACUGACGUUCAUGCUCGAAAGCGUGGGUAGCAAACAGGAUUAGAUACCCUGGUAGUCCACGCCCUAAACGAUGUCAAUUAGCUGUUGGGCAACUUGAUUGCUUAGUAGCGUAGCUAACGCGUGAAAUUGACCGCCUGGGGAGUACGGUCGCAAGAUUA